rnacentral:SRP_RNA from 1 species
CCCCAGGUCCGUGGGGCGGGCGCUCAUGAACCCCGUCAGGACCGUGAAGGUAGCAGCGGUAAGUGCGGCAAGCGUCGCCACGGAGCGCCUGGGGCAC